rnacentral:lncRNA from 12 species
ACAGGGCAACCUCCUUUGUGAGGGGGUGAAUAAACAAAUUUUCUUAAGGGGAGCAGAGGAUGGUUUAUUGGUUUUUAUCUCUGAUUGGUUUUACUUAAGCUACUAUUAUUAUUAUCAUCUUUUGUAGCACUACUUCCAGGCCACAGAUCCUGUUUGUGCUGGAUUCUGCAUUAACAAGCGUGUAACAAACCUGAGUGCUUGACCUGAGGAAUCACACUGCUCUGCCUUGUGGAAGGAUUUCUACUGGAAGGCAACAGAAUCUCCAUCAAGGCGUCAUCUACAAUCUUCCAGCACAGAGAAAAGAAUUCCUGAUUCAAUCUGACAAUUUCACUUCUGCUAUGAGAACAUCAU